rnacentral:rRNA from 1 species
UACGUAGGGGGCAAGCGUUGUCCGGAUUUAUUGGGCGUAAAGAGCGUGUAGGCGGCCAGGUAGGUGGGUUGUGAAAACUGGAGGCUCAACCUUCAGAGGUCGACCCAAACCCCCUGGCUAGAGUCCGGAAGAGGAGAGUGGAAUUCCUGGUGUAGCGGUGAAAUGCGCAGAUAUCAGGAAGAACACCCGUGGCGAAGGCGGCCCUCUGGGACGGUACUGACGCUGAGACGCGAAAGCGUGGGGAGCGAACAGG